AACGAACGCUGGCGGCAGGCUUAACACAUGCAUGUCGAACGCCCCGCAAGGGGAGUGGCAGACGGGUGAGUAACGCGUGGGAACAUACCCUUUUCUACGGAAUAGCUCUGGGAAACUGGAAUUAAUACCGUAUACGCCCUACGGGGGAAAGAUUUAUCGGGGAAGGAUUGGCCCGCGUUGGAUUAGCUAGUUGGUGGGGUAAAGGCCUACCAAGGCGACGAUCCAUAGCUGGUCUGAGAGGAUGAUCAGCCACAUUGGGACUGUGACACGGCCCAAACUCCUACGGGAGGCAGCAGUGGGGAAUAUUGGACAAUGGGCGCAAGCCUGAUCCAGCCAUGCCGCGUGAGUGAUGAAGGCCUUAGGGUUGUAAAGCUCUUUCACCGAUGAAGAUAAUGACGGUAGUCGGAGAAGAAGCCCCGGCUAACUUCGUGCCAGCCGCCGCCGUAA
rnacentral:rRNA from 1 species